UACGGAGGGUGCAAGCGUUGCUCGGAAUUAUUGGGCGUAAAGGGUGCGCAGGCGGCCGGGUGUGUCAGAUGUGAAAUCCCGAGGCUUAACCUCGGAACUGCGUCUGAAACUAUUCGGCUAGAGUACUGGAGAGGGUAACGGAAUUCACGGUGUAGCAGUGAAAUGCGUAGAUAUCGUGAGGAACACCAGAGGCGAAGGCGGUUACCUGGACAGUUACUGACGCUCAGGCACGAAAGCGUGGGGAGCAAAAGGGAUUAGAUACCCUGGUAGU
rnacentral:rRNA from 1 species